AGCUUUUAGGUAUAUUACUUUUGUUAAUAUAGUAGUUUAUAUGGAAAGUACAUGGUAUGAAUGCUGUGUUUUCUCCACCUGCCCUUCCUCCUUUCAACUGCCCCUUAGAAGUCCUGUAACAAAUAACAUUUGUGGGGAGGGCGGCUUGCCUGCAGAUCUCUAGGGCUCUGAAGAUUACUCAUUAUCUUUUGCCCUCUGAGAACACUGAGUGAUUCUAGCUUCAAACUGAUGACUGGAAGAUACACUACUUUGAAAGAACAUCCAAAAGCAAGUUCAUCACAGGUCCAGUUGAUUGUGACAUUUUACUUCACUGUAACAGCAAUUCGAGAUGUCAUGGUUCUUCAAGGAAUCUUAAAAACUCAGUGAACGCAGACUCAGGAGGGAAACGAGACAGAGGUCAGAGAAGAAGAGGGAAUCCUGACCGUUUAUGGCAUUGUAUUAUUACACACA